GAUGAACGCUGGCGGCGUGCCUAAUACAUGCAAGUCGAGCGAACAGACGAGGAGCUUGCUCCUCUGACGUUAGCGGCGGACGGGUGAGUAACACGUGGAUAACCUACCUAUAAGACUGGGAUAACUUCGGGAAACCGGAGCUAAUACCGGAUAAUAUAUUGAACCGCAUGGUUCAAUAGUGAAAGACGGUUUUGCUGUCACUUAUAGAUGGAUCCGCGCCGCAUUAGCUAGUUGGUAAGGUAACGGCUUACCAAGGCAACGAUGCGUAGCCGACCUGAGAGGGUGAUCGGCCACACUGGAACUGAGACACGGUCCAGACUCCUACGGGAGGCAGCAGUAAGGAAUCUUCCGCAAUGGGCGAAAGCUUGACGGAGCAACGCCGCGUGAGUGAUGAAGGUCUUCGGAUCGUAAAACUCUGUUAUUAGGGAAGAACAAAUAUGUAAGUAACUAUGCACGUCUUGACGGUACCUAAUCAGAAAGCCACGGCUAACUACGUG
rnacentral:rRNA from 1 species